rnacentral:snRNA from 1 species
UUGUUUGCCUGGUAUGGGAGGCUCCAUGUCAUGGAAGGUGGAUUUUCUAGGCUGAAGCCAAUCCUUUGCACUCCAGAUGUGCUGACCCCUGUAACUUCCCAGAUGCUGAUCCCUGUAUUUUCCCAGGGACCUCAGCUGCGUGAUUUUUGAUAGGAAGAGACUGUCUGCACCUUUUCUUG